rnacentral:rRNA from 1 species
AAAUGAAUUGACGGGGGCCCGCACAAGCAGCGGAGCGUGUGGUUUAAUUCGACGCAACGCGAAGAACCUUACCAAGGCUUGACAUCCCUCGCUAUUCAUGGAAACAUGGAGUUCCCUUCGGGGACGAGGAGACAGGUGGUGCACGGUUGUCGUCAGCUCGUGUCGUGAGAUGUUGGGUUAAGUCCCGCAACGAGCGCAACCCCUGUGCUUAGUUGCCAUCACUUCGGGUGGGCACUCUAAGCAGACUGCCGGUGACAAACCGGAGGAAGGUGGGGAUGACGUCAAAUCAUCAUGCCCCUUAUGCCUUGGGCUACACACGCGCUACAAUGGUCUGUACAAAGGGCAGCAACACCGCGAGGUGGAGCGAAUCCCAUAAAGCAGAUCUCAGUUCGGAUUGCAGGCUGCAACUCGCCUGCAUGAAGUCGGAGUUGCUAGUAAUCGUGGAUCAGAACGCCACGGUGAAUGCGUUCCCGGGCCUUGUACACACCGCCCGU